rnacentral:rRNA from 1 species
GACAGAGGGUGCAAACGUGUUCGGAAUUACUGGGCGUAAAGCGCGUGUAGGCGGCAGCGUGUGUCGGGCGUGAAAUCCCAUGGCUCAACCAUGGAAGUGCACCCGAACUGCGCAGCUAGAGUCCUGGAGAGGAAGGUGGAAUACUUGGUGUAGAGGUGAAAUUCGUAGAUAUCAAGUGGAACACCGGUGGCGAAGGCGGCCUUCUGGACAGUGACUGACGCUGAGACGCGAAAGCGUGGGGAGCAAACAGG